rnacentral:rRNA from 1 species
UACGUAGGCAGCAAGCGUUGUUCGGAAUUACUGGGCGUAAAGAGUGUGUAGGCGGUGCUCUAAGUUCGUUGUGAAAUCUCCCGGCUUAACUGGGAGGGUGCGGCGGAAACUGGAGUGCUUGAGCGCGGGAGAGGAAAGCGGAAUUCCUGGUGUAGCGGUGAAAUGCGUAGAUAUUGGGAGGAACACCAGUGGCGAAGGCGGCUCACUGGACCGGAACUGACGCUGAGGCGCGAAAGCGUGGGGAGCAAACGGG